GGUUAAGCGACUAAGCGUACACGGUGGAUGCCCUGGCAGUCAGAGGCGAUGAAGGGCGUGCUAAUCUGCGAUAAGCGCCGGUAAGGUGAUAUGAACCGUUAUAACCGGCGAUACCCGAAUGGGGAAACCCAGUGUGAUUCGUCACACUAUCAUUACGUGAAUACAUAGCGUAAUGAAGCGAACCGGGGGAACUGAAACAUCUAAGUACCCCGAGGAAAAGAAAUCAACCGAGAUUCCCCCAGUAGCGGCGAGCGAACGGGGAGGAGCCCAGAGCCUGAAUCAGCAUGUGUGUUAGUGGAAGCGUCUGGAAAGGCGCGCGAUACAGGGUGACAGCCCCGUACACAAAAGCGCAUGUGUUGUGAGCUCGAUGAGUAGGGCGGGACACGUGGUAUCCUGUCUGAAUAUGGGGGGACCAUCCUCCAAGGCUAAAUACUCCUGACUGACCGAUAGUGAACCAGUACCGUGAGGGAAAGGCGAAAAGAACCCCGGCGAGGGGAGUGAAAAAGAACCUGAAACCGUGUACGUACAAGCAGUGGGAGCACCCUUUGGGGUGUGACUGCGUACCUUUUGUAUAAUGGGUCAGCGACUUAUAUUCUGUAGCAAGGUUAACCGAAUAGGGGAGCCGGAGGGAAACCGAGUCUUAAUUGGGCGUUAAGUUGCAGGGUAUAGACCCGAAACCCGGUGAUCUAGCCAUGGGCAGGUUGAAGGUUGGGUAACACUAACUGGAGGACCGAACCGACUAAUGUUGAAAAAUUAGCGGAUGACCUGUGGCUGGGGGUGAAAGGCCAAUCAAACCGGGAGAUAGCUGGUUCUCCCCGAAAGCUAUUUAGGUAGCGCCUCGUGAAUUCAUCUCCGGGGGUAGAGCACUGUUUCGGCUAGGGGGCCAUCCCGGCUUACCAACCCGAUGCAAACUGCGAAUACCGGAGAAUGUUAUCACGGGAGACACACGGCGGGUGCUAACGUCCGUCGUGAAGAGGGAAACAACCCAGACCGCCAGCUAAGGUCCCAAAGUCAUGGUUAAGUGGGAAACGAUGUGGGAAGGCCCAGACAGCCAGGAUGUUGGCUUAGAAGCAGCCAUCAUUUAAAGAAAGCGUAAUAGCUCACUGGUCGAGUCGGCCUGCGCGGAAGAUGUAACGGGGCUAAACCAUGCACCGAAGCUGCGGCAGCGACGCUGAUGCGUUGUUGGGUAGGGGAGCGUUCUGUAAGCCUGCGAAGGUGGCCUGUGAGGGUUGCUGGAGGUAUCAGAAGUGCGAAUGCUGACAUAAGUAACGAUAAAGCGGGUGAAAAGCCCGCUCGCCGGAAGACCAAGGGUUCCUGUCCAACGUUAAUCGGGGCAGGGUGAGUCGACCCCUAAGGCGAGGCCGAAAGGCGUAGUCGAUGGGAAACGGGUUAAUAUUCCCGUACUUGGUGUUACUGCGAAGGGGGGACGGAGAAGGCUAUGUUGGCCGGGCGACGGUUGUCCCGGUUUAAGCGUGUAGGUGUGUGUUCCAGGUAAAUCCGGUUCACUUUAACACUGAGGCGUGACGACGAGGCACUACGGUGCUGAAGCAACAAAUGCCCUGCUUCCAGGAAAAGCCUCUAAGCAUCAGGUAACAUCAAAUCGUACCCCAAACCGACACAGGUGGUCAGGUAGAGAAUACCAAGGCGCUUGAGAGAACUCGGGUGAAGGAACUAGGCAAAAUGGUGCCGUAACUUCGGGAGAAGGCACGCUGACACGUAGGUGAAGUGAUUUACUCAUGGAGCUGAAGUCAGUCGAAGAUACCAGCUGGCUGCAACUGUUUAUUAAAAACACAGCACUGUGCAAACACGAAAGUGGACGUAUACGGUGUGACGCCUGCCCGGUGCCGGAAGGUUAAUUGAUGGGGUCAGCGCAAGCGAAGCUCCUGAUCGAAGCCCCGGUAAACGGCGGCCGUAACUAUAACGGUCCUAAGGUAGCGAAAUUCCUUGUCGGGUAAGUUCCGACCUGCACGAAUGGCGUAAUGAUGGCCAGGCUGUCUCCACCCGAGACUCAGUGAAAUUGAACUCGCUGUGAAGAUGCAGUGUACCCGCGGCAAGACGGAAAGACCCCGUGAACCUUUACUAUAGCUUGACACUGAACAUUGAGCCUUGAUGUGUAGGAUAGGUGGGAGGCUUUGAAGUGUGGACGCCAGUCUGCAUGGAGCCGACCUUGAAAUACCACCCUUUAAUGUUUGAUGUUCUAACGUGGACCCGUGAUCCGGGUUGCGGACAGUGUCUGGUGGGUAGUUUGACUGGGGCGGUCUCCUCCUAAAGAGUAACGGAGGAGCACGAAGGUUGGCUAAUCCUGGUCGGACAUCAGGAGGUUAGUGCAAUGGCAUAAGCCAGCUUGACUGCGAGCGUGACGGCGCGAGCAGGUGCGAAAGCAGGUCAUAGUGAUCCGGUGGUUCUGAAUGGAAGGGCCAUCGCUCAACGGAUAAAAGGUACUCCGGGGAUAACAGGCUGAUACCGCCCAAGAGUUCAUAUCGACGGCGGUGUUUGGCACCUCGAUGUCGGCUCAUCACAUCCUGGGGCUGAAGUAGGUCCCAAGGGUAUGGCUGUUCGCCAUUUAAAGUGGUACGCGAGCUGGGUUUAGAACGUCGUGAGACAGUUCGGUCCCUAUCUGCCGUGGGCGCUGGAGAACUGAGGGGGGCUGCUCCUAGUACGAGAGGACCGGAGUGGACGCAUCACUGGUGUUCGGGUUGUCAUGCCAAUGGCACUGCCCGGUAGCUAAAUGCGGAAGAGAUAAGUGCUGAAAGCAUCUAAGCACGAAACUUGCCCCGAGAUGAGUUCUCCCUGAGACUUAGAGUCUCCUGAAGGAACGUUGAAGACGACGACGUUGAUAGGCCGGGUGUGUAAGCGCAGCGAUGCGUUGAGCUAACCGGUACUAAUGAACCGUGAGGCUUAACCUU
rnacentral:rRNA from 1 species